UAGAGGAGGUGGGGCCAGGGCAAGUAUCCCAAAAAUAGCCAUCUGGGAGCCUGGGAGCCCUGCCUCUGAGGUCAGAUUUGGAACUGAGAAUCCCAGAGAGACUCUGUUCUCAUACUCUCCGUGGAAUGUCCUCUCGGGCAAGCCAUCUGGACACUCUGGGAAGAAGGUACAGGCCCGCUGUGUACAGGGAGGUCCCUGUGGUAAGUUCUUCUGCUUUGAAAGUAUUUGUAGAUUAAGAGCCCCGGUUGGCAUGAGCAACCGGAAGCGGGCAGAAGCGAAGCAAGGCUCUGGACUUUAACUCUGCAGCUCCUCAUCCGUCAAACAGCGGAGCAUAAAAACCAACAGCUGUGGAUCCCGAUGUCUGGCAGCUCCAUAUGGGAAGCUGAUCCCGGCCUCUUUACUCAGUUACUCUUCCCCGUGCCUUUCCCAAGUCCAAAACACCAGUGAAGACAUCUUUGAAGGCUGAGAGACCCAUGAAGAUCCCAUUCCUACACUUGGCUGCAGGAGACCCUGAAUACCAUACAAACCUCUCUGAGCUUCCCAAACAGAUCUACAAUCUACAAGGGAUCCUGAGACUCUCGCCCCCACGCCCCUCUCUUUAGGAAGGGUUGUGUGUCUACUUGUUCAAGACAAGAAGAUAUUUCUAUAGAUCAGACUGGCCUUGAACUUACCAUGAAGCCUAGGGUGACCUUGAACUCCUGGUGCUCCUGCCUCCAUGUCCUGAAUGCUAGGAUAUUUGUGUGUACCAUCUCCUGACACCAAGCCCAGAAACCUGUAUGCAGUGCUCAGAGGUCAUACGUGCGUGCAUGGUGCGUUAUUCUUACCACAUUUUCAAAUGCAGCAUGGUGUGGGGGCCACACAGAACAAAGCACCUGGUACAGUGCAGAGUCUGUGCUUGGCAUAUGACCCUCCAAACCACCAAAACGGGGGAAGGAGGGAGAGGGGAAGAGGGAGACACAGAGAGACAGAGACACAGA
rnacentral:sRNA from 1 species